GGAUGAGCCCGCGGCCUAUCAGCUUGUUGGUGCGGUGAUGGCGUACCAAGGCGACGACGGGUAGCCGGCCUGAGAGGGUGACCGGCCACACUGGGACUGAGAUACGGCCCAGACUCCUACGGGAGGCAGCAGUGGGGAAUCUUGCGCAAUGGGCGGAAGCCUGACGCAGCAACGCCACGUGGGGGAUGACGGCCUUCGGGUUGUAAACCUCUUUCGGCCUUGACGAAGGCAUCUCUGUUGGGGGUGUUGACGGUAGGGGCAGAAGAAGCACCGGCUAACUACGUGCCAGCAGCCGCGGUAAUACGUAGGGUGCGAGCGUUGUCCGGAGUUACUGGGCGUAAAGAGCUCGUAGGCGGUGUGUCGCGUCGGCCGUGAAAUCCUGCUGCUUAACGGUGGGCUUGCGGUCGAUACGGGCAGACUAGAGUUCGGUAGGGGAGACUGGAAUUCCUGGUGUAGCGGUGAAAUGCGCAGAUAUCAGGAGGAACACCGGUGGCGAAGGCGGGUCUCUGGGCCGAUACUGACGCUGAGGAGCGAAAGCGUGGGGAGCGAACAGGAUUAGAUACCCUGGUAGUCCACGCUGUAAACGUUGGGCGCUAGGUGUGGGGACUGUUUCCACGGUUUCCGUGCCGUAGCUAACGCAUUAAGCGCCCCGCCUGGGGAGUACGGCCGCAAGGCUAAAACUCAAAGGAAUUGACGGGGGCCCG
rnacentral:rRNA from 1 species